rnacentral:rRNA from 1 species
GGAGUAACGCGUAGGUAACCUGCCUCAUAGCGGGGGAGUAACUAUUGGAAACGAUAGCUAAUACCGCAUAAGAGUAAUUAACACAUGUUAGUUAUUUAAAAGGAGCAAUUGCUUCACUGUGAGAUGGACCUGCGUUGUAUUAGCUAGUUGGUGAGGUAAAGGCUCACCAAGGCGACGAUACAUAGCCGACCUGAGAGGGUGAUCGGCCACACUGGGACUGAGACACGGCCCAGACUCCACGGGAGGCAGCAGCC